GUUGCCAAUGCAGGAGGAUUGCUUGAGCCCAGGAGUUUGAGACCAGCCUGGGCAGAAUAGCAAGACUCCAUCUCUGCAAAUAAUAAAAUAUUAACCAGGUGUGGUGGUGCGCACCUGGGGUCCCAGCUACCUGGGAGGCUAAGGUGGGAGGUUUGCUUGAGGCUUCAGUGAACUGUGAAUGCACCACUGCAUUCCAGCCUAGGCCACAGAACAGGACCUUGUUUAUAAAUAAAGAAAUAAGUAAAAAUAUAAAUAAAAAGUAAAAAUAACUAUAAGUAAAUAUAAAUAUAAAAAUGCAUACAUGAAAAGAAACAAUUUUUAAAUUUAACAUCACUGAGGGCAUCCUAUCCAUUUCAUUUCAUGAUUCCAUUACAUCAUUUCACUUAGAUGAAAUGAUGAGAUGAAAUGAUGAGAUGAAAUGACGAAAUGAUGAGAUGAGAUGAUGAGAUGAAAUUUUGAGAUGAAAUGGUGAGUAGAAAUGAUGAGAUGAAAUGAUGAGACGAAAUGACAAAAUUGAAAAGAAAUUGAAAGGAGAGGAGAUGAGAUAAAAUGAGAUGAAAUGAGAUGAUGGAUGAAAUGAGAUGAAACGAGAUGAAAUGAAAUAAUGAAAUGAUAUGAAAUAAUGAAAUUGUAAUGAGAUGAUAUGAGAUGAAAUAAUGAGAUAAAAUGAUGAGAUGAGAUGAACGAUGAGAUGAAAUGAUGAAAUGAAAUGAGAUGAAAAAUGAUGAGAUGAAAAAUGAGAUGAAAUGAAAUAAUGAAAUGAGAUGAAAUGAAAUGAAAUAAUGAAAGGAAAUUAUGAAAUGUAAUGAUGAAAUUGAAAUGAGAUGAGUUGAAAUGAUGAGAUGUAAUGGUGAAAUGAAAUGAUGAAAUGAGAUGAGAUGAAAUGAGAUGAAAUAAUGAGAUGAAAUGAGAUAAUGAGAUGAGAUGAAAUCAUGAGAUGAAAUGAUGAAAUGAAAUGAAAUGAUGGAUGAAAUUAUGAGAUGAAAGAUGAAAUGUAAUGAGAUGAAAUGAAAUGACAUAAUGAAAUGAAAUAAUGAAAUGAGAUGAAAUAAAAUAAUGAAAUGAUGAAAUAAUGAAAUGAAAAUGAAAUGGAAAUGAUGAGAUGAGAAGAAAUGAUGAGAUGAAAUGAUGAAAUGAUGAGAUGAGAUAAAAUGAGAUGAAAUGGUGAGAUGAGAUGAAAUAUGAUGAGAUGAAAUGACAUAAUGAAUGAAAUGAUGAAAUGGAAUAAUGAAAUGGAAAUGAUGAGCUGAGAUGCAAUGAGUUGAAAUGAGAUGAAAUGAUGAAAUGAUGAGAUGAAAUGAUGAGAUGAGAUGUGAUGAAAUGAUGACAUGAAAUGAUGACAUAAAAUGAGAUGAAAUGAGAUGUAAUGAUGGAAUGAGAUGAGAUGAAAUGAGAUGAAAUGAUAGAUGAGAUAAAAUGAUAUGAAAUGAUGAGAUGAAUGAUGAGAUGAUGAGAUGAAUGAUGAAAUGAAAUGAUGAGAUGAGAUGAUGAAAUGAAAUGGUGAGAUGAAAUGAGAUGAAAUGAAAUAAUGAAAUGAAAUUGAAAUAAAAUCGAAAUGAGAUGAGAUGAAAUGAUGAGAUGAUGAAAUAAAAUGAUGAAAUGAUGAGGUGAUGAGAUGAAAUGAUGAGAUGAAAUGAUGAGAUGAGAUGACAUGAAAUAAUGAAACGAAAUUGAAAUGAGAUAAGAUACGAGAUGAGAUGAAAUGAUGAGAUGAAAUGAAAUGAUGAGAUAAGAUGAAAAGAGUUGAUGAGAUGAUGAGAUGAAAUGAGAUGAAAAGAUGAAAUGAUGAGAUGAAAUGAUGAGAUGAAAUGAGGUGAAAUGAAAUUAGAUGAAAUGUAAUGAGAUGAAAUGAAAUGACAAUGAAAUGAAAAAAUGAAAUGAAAUAAUGAAAUGAGGUGAAAUUAAAUGAGAUGAUGAAAUUAAAUGAUGAAAUGAAAUAAUGAAAUGGAAAUGAUGAGAUGAAAUGAGAUGAAUGAUGAGAUGAAAUGAUGAGAUGCAAUGAUGAGAUGAAAUGAUGAGAUGAGAUGUAAUGAUGAGAGGAAAUGAGAUGUAAUGAAAUGAGAUGAAAUGAAUGAGAUGAAAUGAAAUAAUGAAAUUGAAUUGAGAUAUGAGAUGAAAUGAGAUAAAAUGAGAUGAAAUAAAUGAUGAGAUGAAAUGAUGAAAUGCUGAGGUGAGAUGAAACGAUGAGAUGAAAUGAAAGGAUGAGAUGAAAUGAUGAGGUGAGAUGAGAUGAAAUGAGAUGAAACGAGAUGAAAUGAUGAAAUGAGAUGAGAUGAGAAGAAAUGAUUUGAUGCAAUGAGAUGAGAUAAAGUGAUGAGAUGAAAUGAAAUGAAGUGAAAUGAAAUAAUGAAAUGAAAUUGAAAUGAGAUGAGAUGAAAUGAGAUAAAAUGAGAUGAAAUGAGAAGAAAUGAGAUGAAAUGAUGAAAUGAGAUGAUGAGAUGAAAAAUGAGAUGAAUUGAAAUGAAAUGAAAUAAUGAAAUAAUGAAGUGAAAUGAAAUGAUGAAUUGAUGAUAUUGAAAUGAAAUUGAAAGAUGAGAUGAAAUGAUGAGAUGAAAUGAAAUGUUGAAAUGAUGAAGAGAUGUGACAUGAAAUGAGCUGAAAUGAGAUGAAAUGAAAUGAGAUUAAAUGAUGAGAUGAAAAAUGAUGAGAUGAAAAAUGAGAUGAAAUGAUGAGAUGAGAUGAGAUGAAUUGAGAUGAGAUGAGAUGAAAUAAUGAAAUUAGGUGAAAUAAUGAAAUGAGAUGAAAUAACGAAAUAAAAUUGAAAUGAGAUGAGAGGAAAUGAGAUGAAAUGUUGAAAAGAAAGGAGGAAAUGAUGAGGUGAGAUGAAAUGAUGAGAUGAAAUGAAUUGAGAUGAAAUGAGAUGAAAAAUGAUACGAAAAAUGAUAUAAAAAAUAUGACAUGAGAUGAAAUGAGAUGAAAAAUGAUACGAAAAAUGAUAUAAAAAAUAUGACAUGAAAUGAAAUGAGAUGAUAUGAAAUGACAUAAUGAAAUAAAUGAAAUUACAUGAAAUGAAAUGAAAUAGUGAAAUGAAAUGAUGAAAUAAUGAAAAUGAAAUGGAAAUGAGAUGAGAUGAGAUUUGAUGAAAUGAUGAGAUGAAAUGAUGAGAUGAUAUGAAAUGAUGAGAUGAGAUGGGAUAAGAUGAAAUGAGAUGAAAUGAUGAGGUGAAGUGAUGCACUGUCAUGUGUGUGUCUUUUUCCCAACCAACAAAAAUUAUAAUUCAUUAAUUUUAUUAUUUAAGAAUAUUCUUAAGAGUUGAAGGAAAAAUAAUAUCUGUACAUUAUGGGUUACAAUUAAGUAUAAAUAAUACAUAAAUAUAUUAAAACUUACAAAGAAUAUGUUUCGGAAUCGAAUAUACCAUGCUUCUGUGAUGACAGUUAUUUCAUGCUGGUUGUCACAAUUUUACAUGAAAAACUAAUGAAACAAUGUUUUUAACUGUUUCUAAAAAUAACAGUUUCCAAAACAGUUUUACAUUCAAAAUAUGAAAAAGAUGUCUUUGUGUUCCUUAAUCUGAUGAGAUUUUCACACUCUGCACAUGAUAAUUGUUAGAUUUUUAUUGUGUUGAUAAAUUGUAUAUCAAAUAAAAAAUGUUAUUACCUCUUAAAUUAGGAUUUUUAGGUGAUAUAGGCAGAAAGGAAGGCAAGUUUUUAUAACUUUGUCUAAAUGAACUUUCUAAAUGCCUGAGUAUUAAAAGAUAGCAUGUCUAUAAAUGACAAUGUAUAUAUUACUGUAUGACCUAGGACCAAUCAAAACCGUUACCUCUGAUAACAUUAUAUUGUGCCCAGUAUAAAAUAGAUAUAAUAAUACCUCAAACUUAAAUCCAGGCAUUGUCAUUGAAUAUGUUAAGAAUAUGCAGCAAAGGUGCUUUUAAAAAUACAAGCUAGUGAUUGUACUAAAUUUGUAAAUCACAUAGGAUAGUGGGUCAUUUUAAGAAUAUUAUUUCAAUCUAUAAACGUGGAUGUCUUUGCUUUUUUAUGUUUUCUUUAAUUUCUUUCAUUAAUAUUUGUCAUUUUUGUUGUCGAAAUCUUUUACUUGGUUAAAUUUAUUUCUAAGUACAUUUUUGUAGCUAUUGUAAAAGGAAUUGCUUUCUUAAUUUCUUGUUUCAGCUAGUUUACUAUCAAUAUAUAGAAAUGCUACUGAUUUUUGUAUGUUGAUUUAUAUCCUGCAACUUUAUUAAUUUCAUGUAUCACCCUGAGAAGCUUUUGGUAGAGUCUUAUUUUUUUCCAUGUAUAAGAUCACAUUGUCUUUAAACAAGGACAAUUUGACUGUCUCCUUUCCAAUUCAGAUGUCCUUUAUUUCUUUCUCUCACCUAAUUGUCCUGGCUAAGACUUUCACUAUGUGAAAUAUGAUUGGUGAGAAUAGGCAUCCUUUUCUUGUUCCAGUAAAAUCUUUUUCUUGUUCACAGUAAAAUCUUUCACCUUUUCCACACUCAGUAUGAUCUUAGCUGUAGAUUUGUCCUUUAUGUCCUUUGUGUUAAGGCAUAUAUUUUCUAUACUAAAUUGUUGAGAAGUUUUUUGUCAUGUAAGAAUAUUUAAUUUUGCCAAACGCUUUUAUUGUGUUUAUUAAUUUAAUCAUAUGGUUUUCAGUAUAUAUCCAAAGGAAAGAAAAUCAGUAUAUCAAAGAGUUACCUGCACCCCCAUGUUUAUUACAGCACUAUUCACAAUAGCCAAGAUAUGGAAUCAACAAAAGUGUCCAUCAACAGAUGAAUGGAUAAAGAAAUGUGACAUACAUAUAUAAUGGAAUAUUAUUUAGUCAUAAUAAAGAACAAAAUCCUGUUGUUUGUGGCAACAAGAAUGCAAGUGGAGGGCAUUAUGUUAGGUGAAAUAAGCCUGGCAUAGAAAUAUAAACACCACAUAACUACGUGUUCUCACUUAUGUAUGGAAGCUAAAAUUUUUAAUCUCGUAGAAGUAGAUAGUAGAGUUUUGGUUACCAUAUCCUGGAAAGAGUAGGAGAAAGAAGAGUAUAAGAAAAAUGUGCUUAAUACAUACAAAAUUACAGCUGGAGAGAAGGAAGAAGUUCUAGUUCUCUACAGCACUGUUGGGUGACUGUAGUUAAUGGGAAUUUAUUGUGUGUUUUCAAAUAACUAAAAGAAAAGAUUUUGAAUAUUCUCACUGCAAAGAAAUAAUACAUGAUUUAGGUAAUGGAUAUGAUAAUGACUCUGACUUGAUCUUUACGCAUUGCAUAAAUAUAUCAAAAUAUCACUCUGUACCCCAUAACAUGUACAUUUAUUGUAUGUCAAUUAAAGUAAAUUUAAAAGAGAAAAAAUGAGGUAAAGGUAAAUGUACAGAAUUUAAUUACUUUUUCUUCUAUAAAACCCGAGUCAGUACCAAGAAGAGUCAAUUUAUUAGUUUUCUAAAAUAAAAAAAAUCAAAAUCACCAAAAAAGAGCAAUAUCCAAGAAAACAUUGAAAAGGAAACACAACAUUUAGUAAGAAUAGAAAACUUGGGCACUGUAUCACCCUGUUCCUAGAUACCGAUUUACUGAUGGCCAUUUAAAUAGAAUUUUAUUCUAUCUAAUUCAUUUAUACUCCCAGAGUUUGAAAUUACAUUUUACCUACAAUAAAUGAGAUAACACUUGUAAAUUAUAUGGUACUCUGCCUAACACACGUUAAUAACUCAAUAGAUGUUAGCAAUAAACUUUUACUAUAGUAGUCAAAGUAUUAAUUUCUCACAUUGCAAUUUCCUUCAAAGACAUAAAUACAACCUUUCUAAUGACUCCUUGUUCAUCAAGAUACCUCUUCAAAUUAUUCUAUUUGUUUCAUUCAGUAUAUUAUCUGUGUAUACCGAUAUUACACUCUUUUCUUUUUUUGAGAUGGAAUCUCAUUCUGUUACUGAUGCUGGAGUGAGGUGGCAUGAUCUCGGUUCACUGCAACCUCCACCUCCCAGGUUCAAGCGAUUCUCCUGUCUCAGCCCCCCAAGUAGCUAGGACUACAGGUGCACACCACCAUGCCUGGCUAAUUUUUGUAUUUUUAGUACAGUCAGAGUUUCACCCUGUUGUCCAGGCCGGACUCGAACUCCUGACCUCAGGUGAUCCACCCACCAUGGCCUCCCAAAGUGCUGGGAUUACAGGCAUAAGCCACC
rnacentral:lncRNA from 1 species